UACGCAAAGCAUAUGAUGAAAAAGCACUGAAACUGACUCUAUGAAGUGGAUUCAGUCCAACGCUGAGCUUUGUGUC